ACUGGCUCCAUGAAGAGUCAGGAAGCUGGUGACAAAGAAAUCGGAGGGCUGGAGGGUAAAAGCAGGCGAAGGUGAUACUCAGAGGAGAAGGACACUGGAGAAGUCAGUCCUGAACCCACCAAUGAGGCUUGCCCUCUCUCACCUGCUGCCAUGUAAGAUGUGCCUGCUUCACCUUCCGCCAUGAUUGUCAGUUUCCUGAGGCCUCCCCAGCCAUGUGGAACUAACACCUGGCCCCUUUCCUAUGAAGAUACCCCAAGGUCUCAUCCAAGCAAUGCACCUAACUCAACAUCGAGGAUUACUGGGUGAAAUAUACCCCUCUCUGUUCCAUCUAGAUGUGGCUUCUUGUGAUCCGGCUUUUGUGAAGGAAGAGAAGGCCCCUGAACCAUCCAUGGACGGCAGUUAUCAAGUCUACAGAAACAUCAAAUGAAAGUUAUCUUACCAAGUGUUAUCAUCUCUACUCAAAAACUCUACUGGCAAGUAAAUCAGAAGAAAUGGGCUAAAAUUACAACAUGAAAAAUAUAAGUUAGGCAUGCAGGGAAGUUUCCUACCUUAGAGGGUUGGUACAUAUUGUUAAAUAUCUUGAGGUUAGUUGACAGCUUUUCCUUCCAAAUCUGUCUGUGGGGAGUGAUGAGGGAAGGAGAGAAAUGACUGACAUUUAUUGUUAAGAAGGAGCUGGAAGUCUCAUGCAUGGUAUCAUAUUAACAUCACAUAAGCCCAGCCAGGGAUGUAUUAAGAACCUUAUAUAUUCAGAAAAGAAUUCAGGAUUGUUUGAGUUGGAUACAUUAUCCCCCAAGGUAAUACUGUUAGGAAAUGGUGGGAUUGGCCUUAAACCUAGCCUCUGAUGUUCCACAUUAUCACAUUUUGAUUUUUAAGAUAUGCACCUGGAUUUGGAAAGUUUUAUUGGCUAUAGGACAAGCAGGGAGAUAGACAAAGUUAAUGCUCACAAAGUCCUUUUCAAUCCCAGACAUCUGUGAGUCUAUGAUAUGUAACAAAUUAUUUCCUCUGCAGACCCAAACCGUAGGCUACAUUGUACAUAUUUUUUCCUUGUUUUCAGCUGUCAGCUACUUGACUGCCCCUCAUGGCCACUUUUCAAGUCUUGAUUGCCAAGCAUUUAUUUUCUUUUUCCAGUUUGUCUGGAAGACAGAAUGCCUCAGGAAGGGAUUGUUGGGUUUUUCAUAUAAAGCACGUGAAAUAUCUGUAAUUAUGGAUUACAUUUUUGUACCCAAUAUAUGGCUGAAAGGAGUCCUGUGAUAGAAACUUUUAGAAGAUAAUUGAAUGUGUCAGCUGCAUCAAGAAAUUAUGUACUUGCUUCACUUCAACAAACUGUGAUAAAUAGUCUAUUGUC
rnacentral:lncRNA from 1 species